rnacentral:rRNA from 1 species
UGGGAUUGGUCCUGUAUCAGCUCUUGCUAUUAUCGCUGCUGAUGACAAUGCUGGCUUGGUUCAAGCCAUUGAAACCAAGAACAUCACCUACUUGACCAAGUUCCCUAAAAUUGGCAAGAAAACAGCCCAGCAGAUGGUGCUGGACUUGGAAGGCAAGGUAGUAGUUGCAGGAGAUGACCUUCCUGCCAAGGUCGCAGUGCAAGCAAGUGCUGAAAACCAAGAAUUGGAAGAAGCUAUGGAAGCCAUGUUGGCUCUGGGCUAUAAGGCAACAGAGCUCAAGAAAAUCAAGAAAUUCUUUGAAGGAACGACAGAUACAGCUGAGAACUAUAUCAAGUCGGCCCUUAAAAUGUUGGUCAAAUAGGAGCAGAGAAUGACAAAACGUUGUUCGUGGGUCAAGAUGACCAACCCGCUCUACAUCGCCUAUCAUGAUGAGGAGUGGGGUCAGCCCCUCCAUGAUGACCAAGCGUUGUUUGAGUUGUUGUGUAUGGAAACCUAUCAGGCAGGCCUGUCUUGGGAAACGGUACUCAACAAACGCCAAGCUUUCCGAGAAGCCUUUCAUAGCUAUCAAAUUCACUCAGUCGCAGAGAUGACUGACACUGAAUUGGAAGCCAUGCUGGAGAAUCCAGCUAUCAUUCGAAAUAGAGCCAAGAUUUUUGCUACACGCGCUAACGCCCAAGCUUUUCUACAGUUACAGGCAGAGUACGGCUCUUUUGAUGCCUAUCUUUGGUCUUUUGUUGAGGGGAAAACUGUCGUUAACGAUGUUCCUGAUUAUCGCCAAGCCCCAGCUAAAACACCCUUAUCUGAGAAAUUAGCCAAAGAUCUCAAAAAACGAGGCUUCAAGUUCACAGGCCCAGUCGCCGUAUUGUCUUUUCUACAGGCUGCAGGGCUAGUUGAUGACCACGAGAAUGAUUGUGAGUGGAAAGGUCUUAAAUGAUGUCUAACAAAAAUAAGGAAAUUCUGAUUUUUGCGAUUCUCUAUACAGUCCUCUUUGUGUUUGAUGGCGUUAAAUUGCUGGCUUCUUUAAUGCCAUAUGUCAUUGCAAAUUAUCUUGUUUAUGUAGUUUUAGCUUUAUAUGGCUCCUUCUUGUUCAAGGAUAGAUUGAUCCAACAAUGGAAGGAGAUUAGAAAGACUAAAAGAAAAUUCUUCUUUGGCGUCUUAACAGGAUGGCUCUUUCUCAUUCUGAUGACUGUUGUCUUUGAAUUUGUAUCAGAGAUGUUGAAGCAGUUUGUGGGACUAGAUGGACAAGGUCUAAAUCAGUCUAAUAUUCAAAGUACCUUUCAAGAACAACCACUACUGAUAGCUGUUUUUGCUUGUGUCAUUGGACCUCUGGUAGAAGAAUUAUUUUUCCGUCAGGUCUUAUUGCAUUACUUGCAGGAACGGUUGCCAGGUUUACUAAGCAUUAUUCUGGUAGGACUUGUUUUUGCUUUGACUCAUAUGCACAGUUUGGCUCUAUCAGAGUGGAUUGGUGCAGUUGGUUACUUAGGUGGAGGCCUUGCCUUUUCUAUUAUUUAUGUGAAAGAAAAAGAGAAUAUCUACUAUCCCCUACUUGUUCACAUGUUAAGCAACAGCCUCUCCUUAAUCAUUUUAGCUAUCAGUAUAGUAAAAUGAAAUAAGAACAGGACAAAUCGAUCAGGACAGUCAAAUCGAUUUCUAACAAUGUUUUAGAAGUAGAGGUGUACUAUUCUAGUUUCAAUNNNNNNNNNGUAUUAGCUAGUUGGUGGGGUAACGGCUCACCAAGGCGACGAUACAUAGCCGACCUGAGAGGGUGAUCGGCCACACUGGGACUGAGACACGGCCCAGACUCCUACGGGAGGCAGCAGUAGGGAAUCUUCGGCAAUGGACGGAAGUCUGACCGAGCAACGCCGCGUGAGUGAAGAAGGUUUUCGGAUCGUAAAGCUCUGUUGUAAGAGAAGAACGAGUGUGAGAGUGGAAAGUUCACACUGUGACGGUAUCUUACCAGAAAGGGACGGCUAACUACGUGCCAGCAGCCGCGGUAAUACGUAGGUCCCGAGCGUUGUCCGGAUUUAUUGGGCGUAAAGCGAGCGCAGGCGGUUAGAUAAGUCUGAAGUUAAAGGCUGUGGCUUAACCAUAGUAGGCUUUGGAAACUGUUUAACUUGAGUGCAAGAGGGGAGAGUGGAAUUCCAUGUGUAGCGGUGAAAUGCGUAGAUAUAUGGAGGAACACCGGUGGCGAAAGCGGCUCUCUGGCUUGUAACUGACGCUGAGGCUCGAAAGCGUGGGGAGCAAACAGGAUUAGAUACCCUGGUAGUCCACGCUGUAAACGAUGAGUGCUAGGUGUUAGACCCUUUCCGGGGUUUAGUGCCGUAGCUAACGCAUUAAGCACUCCGCCUGGGGAGUACGACCGCAAGGUUGAAACUCAAAGGAAUUGACGGGGGCCCGCACAAGCGGUGGAGCAUGUGGUUUAAUUCGAAGCAACGCGAAGAACCUUACCAGGUCUUGACAUCCCUCUGACCGCUCUAGAGAUAGAGUUUUCCUUCGGGACAGAGGUGACAGGUGGUGCAUGGUUGUCGUCAGCUCGUGUCGUGAGAUGUUGGGUUAAGUCCCGCAACGAGCGCAACCCCUAUUGUUAGUUGCCAUCAUUUAGUUGGGCACUCUAGCGAGACUGCCGGUAAUAAACCGGAGGAAGGUGGGGAUGACGUCAAAUCAUCAUGCCCCUUAUGACCUGGGCUACACACGUGCUACAAUGGCUGGUACAACGAGUCGCAAGCCGGUGACGGCAAGCUAAUCUCUUAAAGCCAGUCUCAGUUCGGAUUGUAGGCUGCAACUCGCCUACAUGAAGUCGGAAUCGCUAGUAAUCGCGGAUCAGCACGCCGCGGUGAAUACGUUCCCGGGCCUUGUACACACCGCCCGUCACACCACGAGAGUUUGUAACACCCGAAGUCGGUGAGGUAACCGUAAGGAGCCAGCCGCCUAAGGUGGGAUAGAUGAUUGGGGUGAAGUCGUAACAAGGUAGCCGUAUCGGAAGGUGCGGCUGGAUCACCU